UACGUAGGGUGCGAGCGUUGUCCGGAAUUAUUGGGCGUAAAGAGCUCGUAGGCGGCUUGUCGCGUCGGAUGUGAAAGCCCGGGGCUUAACCCCGGGUCUGCAUUCGAUACGGGCAGGCUGGAGUGUGGUAGGGGAGAUCGGAAUUCCUGGUGUAGCGGUGAAAUGCGCAGAUAUCAGGAGGAACACCGGUGGCGAAGGCGGAUCUCUGGGCCAUUACUGACGCUGAGGAGCGAAAGCGUGGGGAGCGAACAGG
rnacentral:rRNA from 1 species